rnacentral:rRNA from 1 species
GAUCCUGGCUCAGGACGAACGCUGGCGGCGUGCUUAACACAUGCAAGUUGAACGAGAAUCUGUGGAAAGAGGAUUCGUCCAAUUGAAGCAGAGGACAGUGGCGGACGGGUGAGUAACGCGUGAGGAACCUGCCUUUCAGAGGGGGACAACAGUUGGAAACGACUGCUAAUACCGCAUGACACAUCGGAGUCGCAUGGCUCUGAUGUCAAAGAUUUAUCGCUGAAAGACGG